CUCUGAGCUACCCUUUAUUUCUAUAGGAGAUAGAAGAGCCAAAUCUUAAAGACUGUUUUAAGAAAACUCUUUUGAAAUAUCUUUGAAAAAAUUAAGAUGCUGAAAAAAGAACAUACCUCGCUUCCCUCCCAGACCAUGGGUAAAAGUUCAAAUGAGUUCUGAACAGGGAUGACAGCCGCUGUUUUCCUCCUCUUUAUCUCCAAGCAGUCCAGAGUGGAUGAGUAAUGAUUUUGUUCCAAGAAGGAACUGUGAGGAGAUGGAAGAGGCAAAUGAUCCAGAAAUAGUAACUUUAUGGCAGUUCUUGUCUGUGGGAUAAUUUGUUGAGAAUUAUCACUGACAGGAUGUUUUUCUAAGGAUACCAGUAGUAGCAGGUGGGCUUAUUGCCUGUAUUCAUCUCUUCCAUCUGUGAUGUGAUCCAAAGAUUGCAGUGUGUCCUGUGUUGCCUUCUGAUACAAGUCAGGCGGCCUGGUUUCAGGAAACAGCACGGCGACCCUCUUCCCCAGGGUCGCUCGGGCCUAAGAAACACGCGGACACCAAUGUGGUGGAGGAUCAAAGGCCUUUAUUCUCUCUUCUCGUGGGGUUUUGUAGUCUAG
rnacentral:lncRNA from 1 species